rnacentral:rRNA from 1 species
AUGGCUAGUCCGGGCGGCGGCGGCGGCGGCGGUCGCGGUGGCCGGAGCAGCAGUGGCGUUGUGGGCGGGUACGGAGACCUUCCCGGACUCGGGAGCGAUGCGCAUAGAGGAAUCGAAGUCGACGGCGAGGAUUCCAGUUCGUCUGCUUACUACAGCGACGACGACGAGGGUAUGGGGGCGCCACUGUCCAUGGAGCAGUGGCUGCGGCUGGCUGAGAUCUGGGUGGCCAACCCUACCACGAGCCAUCACUGGAGCCAUGGAUUGGGUGGCCAACAGUAUGCACUAGUACAACCUGCUGGUAUGUGCGCACAAGAGAGCAGAAAUGUCAGCAAGAGGAAGCUCAAAUCUGUGAUGGAAGAAGAGGAAGAGGAGGGAUAUAAGAGUAAUGAUGACUCUCAAGGGGCAUAUGACAAUGACAACAACACUUUCUGCAUGAAGAAGUACAGGAUUGCUGAAGACACAGAGAUAAUAGAGGGAAAGAGGCUAGCAGAUGCAGAACUAGAAGAGGAUGCAGAUUCAGAUGAAGAAACAAAUGAAGAUUCAGAUAAGGAACAGCUACACUAUGAUGGUGACACUGAGGUUGAGGAGUUGUUUGAUAUUGAGGAGGAUGAGGAGGAAGAUUCUGAGAAGGAGAAGGAACCACCCAUGAAAGCAGCUGGUAAAAAGAGGCAAAAGCUACCAGUUAGGAGAGGGCCCACCACUAGGACACAUUCUAAUGUGUUAGAGGACUUGAAACCAGAUUUCAGGCCAUCAUCAGAUGAAGAAGAUAUUGGGUUGCUAUUGGAUAGUGAAGAUGAUCAAUUUGAGCCACUAGCAUUUGUCCUACCAAAAGGAAGGAAGAGUAGGGCCAUGAAAAGGCCAGCAAGGAUAUGGUAUAAUGAAAAACUGGAGAAACCACAUCAACAGCUAUGAGCAUUGUCAGUUCUUCAUAGUUGCAGCAGUUAUCAAAGGGGAGAAGACAUUCACAAUAAAAAAAUGAGGUUGCAGGACACUUUCCCUAGCACUACAGAGACAUCAAGGGUUAGUGCAAAGUGGCUUGCACAGACAUAUGAGUCCCUGUUCAGGUUUGAUCCAAACACAAGUAUUUUGACUCUGAUUGACAACUGCAAUGAGAAGUAUGGUGUUGAUGUGCCCAAGCACAUGGCCUAUAGGGCCAAAAACCUUGAUGUAGAGGUUGUUUUAGGAGAGCACACGAAACAGUAUCCCAGGCUGAGGGACUAUGCUCAAACAAUCAUGGAUACAAACCCUGGGAGUAGAGUUAUAGUUACAACUGUAACCCCAAAACCUACUACAAAAAUACCACAUCCAGGACCAAGGUUUCAUGCUAUGUUCUUCUGCAUCAAUGGAGCAAGGGAGGGCUUUCUCAGUGCAUGCAGACCAUUCAUAGGUGUUGAUGACUGCUUUAUUAAGCUCAACACUGGAGCUCAAAUACUUCCUGCCACUGGCAAAGAUGGCAACAACAACAUUUUCCCACUGGCAUUUGGUAUUGUUGGACAAGAGGAUACAGCAAAUUGGUGUUGGUUUCUGCACCAACUGAAGAUAUGUCUAGGAGGAGAAGUUGGACAAUUUGGUCCUUAUACUAUCAUGUAUGAUAGACAGAAGGUAUGA